rnacentral:lncRNA from 1 species
UUGGGGGUAAACCCUUCAGUUGUACAAGCCUCAGCCUGUCUCAGUGGCUGUGGUGUCUCUUCAUUGGGAUUGGAGAACUUCUGUGGGGCCAGUUCAUCUCCGCAAUACCUACCCGAUCCCUGAAGUUCCUGAAGGAGGCUGGGCAUGGCACCACCAAAGAGGAGAUCACCAAGGAUGCCGAGGGACUGGAUGAGAUUGACCAUGCUGAGAUGGAGCUGCGCCGAGGCCAGAUCCUCUGGUUCCGGGGCCUGAACCGUAUCCAGACUCAGCAUCUUUUGCAGGAUUCAGACUUGCUUCCUGACAAGGAGGAAGCAAUAAUUUCUUCAAGCCUCUUCCCUUCUUGCAAUUUCUGAAAUGGGAUAGAAGCCACCCCUGCUGCUCUUAUGUCCCCUGUCUAUAGCCCCACAAUAACUUUUAUUUUUUCCACUU